CGAGUGCAACCCUUGUCCUUAGUUACCAGCACGUUAUGGUGGGCACUCUAAGGAGACUGCCGGUGACAAACCGGAGGAAGGUGGGGAUGACGUCAAGUCAUCAUGGCCCUUACGGCCUGGGCUACACACGUGCUACAAUGGUCGGUACAAAGGGUUGCCAAGCCGCGAGGUGGAGCUAAUCCCAUAAAACCGAUCGUAGUCCGGAUCGCAGUCUGCAACUCGACUGCGUGAAGUCGGAAUCGCUAGUAAUCGUGAAUCAGAAUGUCACGGUGAAUACGUUCCCGGGCCUC
rnacentral:rRNA from 1 species